GGUGCUUGUGAGAAAGCGGAAGUCUCAAUAGGCUGUUGCUCCUUGUCGUAGUGGAGAGGUUCGGUACUCUAGCUCUAAGUCUACUCGAUGAAAAGAUGGAUCUGGCCUUGCAAACGAUCCUUUAUCCUUGCUAGGAGUUUGGAAGACGAAUCUGUUGAAACUUGAUCUGCAGCUUCGUAAGUUAUUAAAGAAAGUCAAGACUCAGUAUAGAAGAAAGAAAAAGGGCUUUCGCCUCUCGUACCAUGUCUUGUUCUUCAAGAAAUGACUAUUCUUUAUCACCCGAGGGAACUGCUUAUGGUAUAUGGUAAAGGAAUGAAGAAUAUAUUAAUAAUAGGAAAUCUCUUCUCUUAUAUAGAGAAAUGGGGCCGGUUUUCACUUGAUAGAAAAUGUCCUGCUAAGUAAGUCCCAGAUGCACUUCUUUCAAUGGGGAAUAAUGGGGAACACCUGUGCUGUGAUAGAGUUAGGGAGUUACGGUCAUUCCCUUGUUCUUCCUAAUGAACAGGAAGAGUCCGGAUUGAAUCAAGUCAUUCCAUAUAAGUUAGGUAUAAAGCAAGUCCUUUAUUUCAAGGAAAGGUAAUAAAUCGGAACUAUAAGACAGUAUCUAGAUUCAAGUUAAUUACUUCAUUCUAUCUUCCCUAUUCAUUAUUCCUCAUAUGUAAGUGUAACACAUUCAUUAUUCCUCAUAUGUAAGUGUAACAACUUCAUUCUUUCCUUUCGGAGUCUGUGCCUUAAGCUGAAGUCUACAUCACCGGGAAAGUAUAAGAGCGGAUUCUAUAACAAGCGAUUCCAUACUUUACCUUCACUAAUGGAGUCUAUUGGGCCUAGCCUAUGGCUUCUAUAGAGUCUGUUUAAGUCUUAGGCUAGAUACUUCUAAGCCGGACUUCUCUGUGCUCUACUAUUGAUCAAAAGAGCGGCUAUCUUUUCCCUUGGAUUAACUAUUCCGAAACAGCUUAUUUGGGUUUAUUAAAUGAUUCUUUAUUACCUUCCUCCAAGACCGGUUACGAAAGCUGCUCCCCCUAGUAUUGAAUGUGAGGCUCUCUUGGUGUUGAACUCUCGUGGGAAUUGGCAGUGACUUUUGCAUCUCUCUCUGUGCAUCCUACGUUGCUACUAAGACGGCAUUUCUAUUCCUAUCUUCUUAUCGCUACUGUGAAACCUGCUCUUGCUAUAUAGAAAGAGAAUUCUCCUGUUUGUGAAAGAGAUUUGAAAGACGCACCUUAGCCAGCAUCGAAAUUAAGUGACUAUUGAGUAAGAGAAGGGGAUUCUGUGUAAAAUAAUUGGAAGAUGGACAUGAAACCUAAUAAGAAACUACACUUAUAUCCCACUAGCUCAACCACAGCUUAUUCUCGAGCAACUUCUUCUUAAACAACCGAUUCUCUAAUAGCAGCAGCGGCAACUGAUUCACUGACCUAUGUAACUUCCUUGCUAAUCGGAUUCUCUAGAUCGAAUUAAGGAAAAAGCUGGAAUAGCCAACACAGUUAUCUGCCUACGUGUGAUGAUCUUGGUGUGUAUCCUGUUUCAGGACGAUUAGGUUGCUCGUUGAAGGGUGCAGGGAAGAGGCGUAUCUUCGCCAUUGGUAACUACAUUAACCAACGACUACUUUCACCUAUGAAUUAAGGGUUAAGAUAUCAUUGUCUAAAUCCCUUAUUUCGAAAACAGCGUGUGCAGAGUUUGCCAAGAGGUUAUGAGUUUAGACGAGUUGAGACCAGAGUUUGCCGAGAGGUUAUGAGUUUUGACUUUACUUCAGUCCUAUCUCGUCUCGUUGUUUGUCCAACUUCUAUCAUCCUGUAGGUUUGUAUGCCAUUCGGAUGAUUUACCCUAUGAAAAGGUUUUGUACGUAUUGUAGUAUCGGAGUGUUGUUGGGCUACCUGAACCUUGGUCGUCUUCACAGUGACCGUUGUGCGUCUGUAAGACGGAUGCGAUGACUUUGAUAUAAGCCUAAUUAUCCAAUUGAUUGGUGAAGUGGCCCCUUUCUUUCGAAUUGAAAGAAACAGUAAAGCAAUAAAUCCACUAGAAUCAAACCAAAGGUAGCUGUAAAAUCCGCUUUGGCUAGCUGUCCAUCCCUAGUCUCGGUUCAGUGUUCCAGUACCAAUUCCAGUCUUUUAGGGGUAGGGGAGAAACACCAAAACUGCACUCUGCCUCUUAUGAAACGUUACUCUGCCUCUUAUUAAUAUCUAGUUCCGUACCGUAAGGUCCCCUUUCCGCUCCUAGCGAGCUAACAUCAUCAAAACCUUUACAAUAACCUCUAUUCGAAGCCCAGCCAACCAUGAUUCCCAUUCCCCUGCCUGUAAAUGCAUAUAAGGAACCACUGAGCUCUCCUGGCUAGCCAAGAAAAAAAGCCUAAAAAGAAAGACCUUACUAGCAAUAGCAAUAAUGGUAGAAGCCAUCUCUUUCCUAUUCCUUUUAAAGAAUCUAAUCCCUUAGAUCUGUACAUUCUGGAUUAGCUGUUGCUAAACUUGGCCCUUUCUCGCUUGGGGAGUGAGACAUGCCAUAUGUCAAAUUCUGACAACUGUAAAAACCAUCGCGCUUUCCUUACCUUACUCAACUGUUUAAGAAUAUAGAUUUGUGCUGUAGGUAACCCAGCCCCUAAGGGUAGUACCGGGCAUAAGCUUACAUAGCAGCGGACAUUUGAAUAGCAUAAUUCUUAGGAGGAUUCCAGAUAGAGUAAGAAACACUUAAUGUAUUGACGUGGUAUAUUACGAUAUAGUAAUGCUCGCUCCGCUUUUCCCCAUGGAUGAAAUCGUUACUCUUUGUCAAAUGGUAAUAUCUUUCUUUCCCUUUUGCAUAUCUCUGUACAAGUACUUUGGGGGUGAAUACGAAAUCUACCCUACAGAGAGUUCAUUAACGUAUUAUAGACAUAUGACAUAGGUUCAUUACCAGCUUUCUUUGCUUCUAGUCAACUCUCGUAGAGAGAUGAAACAAAGUAGUAGAAAGGAGUAGGCUUCUUCUCAAACAAGUAUCCUCUUCGUGGUAUAACCUUGUCACCCAAGUAUCUUGCAUACUGCAGCUCUUGAUACUGCUUAACUUCUGUCUAAUUACCCUGUUUGUUGGGAAGAGUAAUACAUUUACCUUGUUACCCCAUUUACGUUGUUACCCCUGGAAGAGUAAUACAUUUACCUUGUUACCCUUAUAGGGUCAGAAAGGUCUACUAAUACAACUAGGACAUUCUACUAAUACAACUCUACUAGGUAGGACAUUAUACUAAUACAACUAGGACAUUCAAUAUAAGUCUAAAUAAAUCAAUACAAGUUGGACAAGUGAUAUUGUAGACCCGCCUAAUGGAGCCUACUUCCUACAAUGGGUGAAAGGAUUUUCCUCUUCAAAUUCCGGAGGCUUUCGAUCUGACAUCAAGACUUGUCUUUCCAAUUACCAUUCGGGCCCGGCAUAGGAGAAGUUUUCAUGAUCUACUAAGGAGAAUUUGAAUGAACAUCGUAGUAGUCUCGGACCAGAAGGUUUAUAUGAAUCAGCAUUACCUCCAUAGUAACCACGCCGAAUGCAUGUAUAAAGGUUCCUAUUUGGUAUAUGGAUAACACUUUCAUGUAUUUUUCUAUCCAGUGUUUCAGAAGCCAGACGAAAUCUUUCUCCUUCUAUACGAAAUUAGGAAAAAGGGAGAAAUACAUAUAAUAUAGAAACAAAACGGACUUAGCUAAUAUAGAAACAAAACGGACUUAUCUCUUUUGUGUCCAUUCAACGAGACGAGCCGGCGGUAUAGUAUAGUAGCUUGCUUUCUUAUUCGAUCUUGUCUUCUUCUUCCAGGCCAGGUGAAGCUUUGGUGAAGCUUUGAAAUCCAUCUUUCAAAGAGCCUAUGAUGAUUCCCUUUAGAAAAGAAAAGGGCAUUCGAGUCGAGUAAACUAUACGUCAACUAUACGAGGGGGAAGUCGUCGCUCUUGCGCCUUGCUGCUUCUCUUAUUCUUUUUUCGACUUUGUUUUGUUUAGUGAUUGCUUAUCUCAUAGAGUCUAAGUCUAGUCACUCAACUAAUCAACUCGUGGAAUGCUAGUGGUUUAGUAGUAGUCUGGUAGUUUAGACUCCCCCCUUCUUAUUCUGUAAAGCCGAGCCCUUCUAUUAGUCAGGCACUAGAGUCCUAUAUAGGGGUAUAAAAAAGGGUAAGCAUCCUUCAUAGCUACAGAGUUUUGUGAGCUAUCGUUUUUUGAUAUAAAGAAUCUCCGUUCCGUCUAGUUUGUCUCCACUGACCCGCUUUACGAUCUCCUAUCAAGUGAAACAAGAAUGGAAGGAAACAAGGCAAACGGGAGCAGAUAGCACCAAAGCGAAAGGCCUACUAGGAGAGCAGACCAAGUCGGAUAAAUCGGUUUUCAGGAAGCAAGCAAGGCAGCAAGCUUUCUUCGGGUCCCCCUUUCCAGCACCAAGGUACCAACAAAAGCAAAGCAUAGCGACCAGACCAAAUCACAGAAAAGAAGGAGAAGGGAGCUUACGGAGCUUAGAGAUACUGGAGUGGAUAAAGGUAAGAGAAGCAAGGACGGAGUGAUAUGAGCGUAGGUUAGGUCAGCUACCAACAAAGCUAGGAAGCAGGCAAGUAGCUAACACAGCUAGGAAAUAAUAAUCCCUGGGCUGGGAUUCGUUGACAGAAGGAGGCAAGAUCCGCGCGCGCUUAAUAGACUCCAAGAUGUCUCUUCGCAAGGCACAAAAGGCCCUCCUCUACUAUCCUUGUCUAAACUCUCAAUCUUCCAUUAUGCAUUUUCUAACAAUAAUAGGGGGCGUAGCGAAACUCUUCAUCAGGACAAGACUCUUCUGAUUGGCCCUCCUGAAGCCGGCUGCUCGAUAGUGUUUUAUCGUCCUGAAGCCUCGCCUCUGAUGACACAACCUCGUAGGCAGCAGUCUUUUUGAGUAUCUACCACAGCUUUUUCCAAAACAUUAGCUUUCUUUUUCUUUGCCAUGAACUGGCUAAGUCAAAACCAUCUUGCAGUCCACCUUCUGUGGUAGGCCGAAAAACAGGGUUGGAGCCUAUAUUGACCAUACUCUGCUUUGAUCUUGAUUGCAAGACGGACUCUCCUUCUUUUAUUCCUCCAUGAGAUCAUCCUCCAAGGCGCUAAGUACUAACUUAUAAGAAACCUAUGCGGCUGAGCUUUAUCGGGCUUAUUGUGGUAACUCUUCCCAUUCUUAUCCUCCGCUAGGUACACAAAACGGAGGUUUUCUUUUGAUCUUAUAAUAUCCGUCUUUCUUUUAGCUUUCUUCUUUUCAUCGCUAAACCCUUGCCUUGUUAAUGGGAGGACGGGUUGGUUCUUUUAAGAAACAUAUUUCUGGGUUUGGGAGCUAUUUCCACUCAGAUAUAUUAGUUCUAAACAUGCAGACCCCUCCUACUCAACUGGUUUACUAGCUUUACUUUAAUAGCCACAAAAGCAACUGACCAAUCUCUCUCUUGUUGUCCCCUAAUAAUCCUUUCCCGGUGGUGGAUCAGAGCUCUUGCCCUCGUAGGACACUCUAAGCCAAGGCUCAAAAGUCAGUAGGAGUUUACUACACAUCGAAAGGUACCUACUGACCCGUUUCGACGUCGUUUUCUUCAAAUUAGCUAAAGUGCGAUACCCACAAUCACCUAAUAUAAAGAAGGACGAUACCAACUUUCUAUGAGAUUUAUACGCACAAGCAGAAAGCCCAUACGGGUGAUGGCAGGACAAGACAGCACGUGCCGAAAUAGGAUCCCAGUCUACACGACGAUCCUUAACCCUACCCUAAAUCGUUUAGCGAACUCGGCACAACCAGUAUAAGAGAUAAGAGAUUCUAGACUUCAAGGUUCUGAGUGAGCGCGAAGAGAGGCCAUAUGAGGAAUGAUAUCAGAGAGGCUGCCCAGCUACGAAACGGAAAGCUUUCCCUCUGCCUUUCACAAAGGGGACCUGCAACAGGUUCAUUGCUAAAGCAGAAUUCACUACAGCUUCACUUCCGCAAAUGCUCUACCAAACAUACACUGAAACAUCUCAAACAUGAAAACGAAAACCUAUAAGUGGCCGACUUUAAAUCAAAUGAGAAGCAAUGUCUGUGGCCCACUAGUCAAUCCAGAGGUGAGGUCUGAUCAGAAGUACCAGCCUGGAGUCUCUUUUUGAUAACCUGCGACAACCAGUAAUGAACUGUAUGGAGUGACCUUUGAUUUACAACGUUACCUAUGGCAAAAAUCCUCCUAUUUCCUCCACCCUAAAUUGACUGACCCAACCGCCCAGUAACAACUGGCCCCACCUCGGGAGACCGGAAGAAACGGACAAAUCCGAUGUUCAAAGAAUUAUAGAUUCACUUAAUAAAGACGUUAGUUAUAGGGGUCAAAUAGAGACCUUAUGAAAAGAGCCCUUUAGGUACCUUGGUUCCUUUGUUCCCCCCUAGCAUGAAAAAACUCUACAAGCCAUCGAAAUCCCGGAAGUUCAAAAGUGUGAGCUGGAAAGGAAGACCGACAGCGUUUACACUGUUACCUAUCAUAACGAGAAAACACUGACAGCAUAGUAUAGAAACGAAACUAGGCAAUGCUUUCCACGUAGGUGUCCAUAGCAUAUUAUGGGGUAUCGAACGGAUAUCAGGUAUGUACCGCAGUCUCAAAUCUUCCAUAAAUCGGCUUUUCUUCUCUCAGUUACAAAUUGAUAAACAGCGUCCAUAUCGGCAACGGGAGGACUAGAAUAUAAGGGCGAUUCCAAAGUGUCUUUUUGAAUCUUAGACCUAUAACAAUAAUCCGAGACAGAGAAUGUGAAUCUUAGACCUAUAACAAUAAUCCGAGACAGAGAAAAGAGAAAGAACAAGAAGGUGCUGAAAGCCUAACUCGUGAAUCGCGACGGUACAUACGCCUAGAUGAAACCGAGGAACGGUACAUAUGCCUAGAUGAAACCGAGGAGAAAUUAGUGGAUAUCCUCAUUUCGUGAGGGAGACAGGAACCGGAAGCUUCAGAGAUCAUGUGAACGAAAGAUUCAUAAGUGGGAAAAAGGCCCUUUCUAGAGGUUGUCCAUCUAUGAAUGAGGUUGUCUAUCUAUGAAUUCGUGCUCAAAGUAUGGGCUCUUUCCCUGUCUCCAUAAACAUAAAGGAAGAAUAAACCAAAGCAAAGAGCUUUCUGUCAGCUUCUAUUCUCUAUUCCUAUCCGAGUGCCUCUUCUCUUCCCAUGGUACCCACCUCAAAACGGAUCCUAAUUCUCUGCCGUGUCUCACUCUUUCAAUCUUGAGACAAGUCUAGCCUAACUCAUUUGUAGCCUUUAACAAAGGGAAUUCGUGCAGCUCAUGGAUUGUAUAAACAUUAGGCUCAGGUUUGCCCUGCCUUUGUAGAAUGAAAAAGAGUAGAAAGUAGAUUUCCGUAUGCUAUUUAAAGUAUAUUUCAUACUAAAAGAAGUUUACCUCAAUGAAACGGGGAUUUCUGCCUAGCCUACGGUUUCAGGUGAAGGGACAGAGACGUCCUAUUUCUACGUUACUUGUCUCAUUAAUGUGAAAACUGGCAAGCGGAGGUGCGCUAGCUUCAUAAUUAAUAAAGCAGUUCGUUCCGGAUGUUCCACUUUUUCUUCAAUCGGGCAAGCUUGCUUAACAUAUGAUUAUUUUGACUCUAUAUUUGAGCAUUCCCACUUCUGUGAUGAGGAAGACCUUCUUUUGGAUGCCUCGCCGAGGGAUUUGACCAGCUCUAGCUACUGAACUAGAAGCGAUUUCGCUUAGCUCUCGAAACAACCUAGGCGAAUGAGAAAGUUGUACCGAGUCAACUAAUUGACUCUUUUUAGGCUCUACCUGUAAUUACAAUCUAAGAUGGGAGAACCGCAAUAAGACCUGAGAGCUUAUGGCAAAGCAUCGGGAGGGAGUGUCAUUGACCCGAUUCUAGAAAUACCAUCUAUGAAUUAGGGACGUUAUCUUGCGUACGAAUUCAUGUUGUCAACGAGGAUCUUUGCCUCUUCUUAUUGUUUCACAGCCAACUGUAUAAUUCAAAUAAACAAAAAAGAAUGCCUUGGAGAGCGGAAAGAAUGUAGGAACGAAGCUUCCCGGAGUCCUCAUCCCAAGUCGUCGAGAAAGACCUUGUUUUGGUUCUAUCACCAACUCUUGUUUGAAAGGAAUGGUUUAUCGAAAUGAGACUAAAGGUUUGUUACUGGAAAUGAGACUAAAGGUUUGUUACUCCGUGUCCCUCAGCAUUUUAUAUUCAACCGUCGGGGAAGAGAUGAAUAGAGAUGGAGACCUAGUAAGCACAAGAGACUUUUGCACAGCAUCAUAUAUGUAAGCCAGUCAAUACUUUCCGGGGAUCCCUAUCUUUCCUCUUUUCGAUCUUUGAGUCGUCCAACAUCUUAUACUACUGAAGCAUCCGAUAACCCUAAAGUCAGAGGAAUAGGUCUUUCCCUAAAGUCAGAGGAAUAGGUCUUUCCAACCAGGUAGAAUGACUGUAUACUUUCUUAGGUAGGCCAGCCACUGCCCUUCCUGCUCAAACUUACCCAUCCGAGUCUUUUACAGUAGCUCCUCAUCUUCUUUCUUCUUUUUCUGAGAGAUCAGACGGUGAAUCUAAAGUACCUUUGUACUAAGAGACCUCUCCCUUAGCAAGUCUUGGAAAUAGAGAAUCUAAUAUAAGAGAAUAUAUCAUACGCCUUUACUCUAAGACGAUGCUUAUACUCUGCCUGGGCCAGACUCACAGGUAAGACUAUCACUUUUCUCGGGCGGGGAAAGUCCUUUCCAUCUACAGAAGCAUCAAAGAGUCCAGUCCAUCCCCCUCAUCAAGUAACUCGUAAGACGAUCCCUUUGAUGACUCUAAGAGGUAAGACUAUCACUUUAGUAGAACAGCAAUUCUGAUUCCAUCUCCUGGCCAACUCGAAUCUGUCUUGGGGGAAUAGGAAAGACUCCUUGGGCGAACCGGAACUCA
rnacentral:lncRNA from 1 species